AUUGAACGCUGGCGGCAGGCCUAACACAUGCAAGUCGAGCGGAUGAAGGGAGCUUGCUCCUGGAUUCAGCGGCGGACGGGUGAGUAAUGCCUAGGGAUCUGCCUGGUAGUGGGGGAUAACGUCCGGAAACGGGCGCUAAUACCGCAUACGUCCUGAGGGAGAAAGUGGGGGAUCUUCGGACCUCACGCUAUCAGAUGAGCCUAGGUCGGAUUAGCUAGUUGGUGGGGUAAAGGCCUACCAAGGCGACGAUCCGUAACUGGUCUGAGAGGAUGAUCAGUCACACUGGAACUGAGACACGGUCCAGACUCCUACGGGAGGCAGCAGUGGGGAAUAUUGGACAAUGGGCGAAAGCCUGAUCCAGCCAUGCCGCGUGUGUGAAGAAGGUCUUCGGAUUGUAAAGCACUUUAAGUUGGGAGGAAGGGCAGUAAGUUAAUACCUUGCUGUUUUGACGUUACCAACAGAAUAAGCACCGGCUAACUUCGU
rnacentral:rRNA from 1 species